rnacentral:rRNA from 1 species
UACGUAGGGGGCUAGCGUUGUCCGGAAUCAUUGGGCGUAAAGAGCGUGUAGGCGGUCCGGUAAGUCCGCUGUGAAAGUCGGGGGCUCAACCCUCGAAUGCCGGUGGAUACUGCCAUGGCUAGAGUCCGGUAGGGGACCACGGAAUUCCUGGUGUAGCGGUGAAAUGCGCAGAUAUCAGGAGGAACACCGGUGGCGAAGGCGGUGGUCUGGGCCGGAACUGACGCUGAGGAGCGAAAGCGUGGGGAGCGAACAGG